CCAGCAAGGGGCCUGAAUAAAUGGCUCCUCUGUUUACAACCCACCCAACAGGAAUCUGGGUUCAUUCACUGUGCCAAGGGGCACAAAACUUGGGGUCCUCCUAUGAACACACCCUACACAU
rnacentral:snoRNA from 1 species